rnacentral:rRNA from 1 species
CUACGGGGCGCUCCAGUGGGGAAUAUUGGACAAUGGGGGCAACCCUGAUCCAGCCAUGCCGCGUGAAUGAUGAAGGCCUUCGGGUUGUAAAGUUCUUUUGGCGGGGACGAUGAUGACUGUACCCGCAGAAUAAGCUCCGGCUAACUUCGUGCCAGCAGCCGCGGUAAUACGAAGGGAGCAAGCGUUGUUCGGAAUUACUGGGCGUAAAGGGCGCGUAGGCGGUUAGACAAGUCAGGCGUGAAAGCCCCGGGCUCAACCCGGGAAUAGCGUUUGAGACUGUCUUUCUAGGAGUUCGGAAGAGGUAAGUGGAAUUCCCAAUGUAGCAGUGAAAUGCGUAGAUAUUGGGAAGAACACCAGUGGCGAAGGCGGCUUACUGGUCCGAUACUGACGCUGAGGCGCGAAAGCGUGGGGAGCAAACAGGAUUAGAUACCCUCGUAGUC